rnacentral:rRNA from 1 species
ACUCCUACGGGAGGCAGCAGUGGGGAAUAUUGGACAAUGGGCGAAAGCCUGAUCCAGCCAUGCCGCGUGAGUGAUGAAGGCCCUAGGGUUGUAAAGCUCUUUCAACGGCGAAGAUAAUGACGGUAACUGUAGAAGAAGCCCCGGCUAACUUCGUGCCAGCAGCCGCGGUAAUA